rnacentral:rRNA from 1 species
UGGGGAAUAUUGCGCAAUGGGCGAAAGCCUGACGCAGCAACGCCGCGUGAGUGAGGAAGGCCUUAGGGUUGUAAAGCUCUGUCAGAUGGGAAGAAAAACUCUUGGUCUAAUAGGCCUCGAGCCUGACGGUACCAUCAAAGGAAGCACCGGCUAACUUCGUGCCAGCAGCCGCGGUAAUACGAAGGGUGCAAGCGUUACUCGGAUUUACUGGGCGUAAAGCGCACGCAGGCGGGUAAGCAAGUCAGAUGUGAAAUCUCGGGGCUCAACCUCGAAACUGCGUCUGAAACUGCUUUCCUAGAGUUUCGAAGAGGGAAGUGGAAUUUCGCAUGUAGGGGUAAAAUCCGUAGAGAUGCGAAGGAACAUCAGAGGCGAAGGCGACUUCCUGGGCGAAUACUGACGCUCAUGUGCGAAAGCGUGGGGAGCAAACAGG